UACGUAGGCAGCGAGCGUUGUUCGGAGUUACUGGGCGUAAAGGGUGUGUAGGCGGUCGUUUAAGUUUGGUGUGAAAUCUCCCGGCUCAACCGGGAGGGUGCGCCGAAUACUGAAUGACUUCGAGUGCGGGAGAGGAGAGUGGAAUUCCUGGUGUAGCGGUGAAAUGCGUAGAUAUCAGGAGGAACACCGGUGGUGUAGACGGCUCUCUGGACCGUAACUGACGCUGAGACACGAAAGCGUGGGUAGCAAACAGG
rnacentral:rRNA from 1 species